rnacentral:rRNA from 1 species
GGCGGCGUGCCUAACACAUGCAAGUCGAGCGAGGAGAUCCUUCGGGAUGAUCCUAGCGGCGGACGGGUGAGUAACACGUGGGCAACCUGCCUCAUAGAGAGGAAUAGCCUUCCGAAAGGGAGAUUAAUACCUCAUAACAUUGCAGUUUCGCAUGGAACAGCAAUUAAAGGAGCAAUCCGCUAUGAGAUGGGCCCGCGGCGCAUUAGCUAGUUGGUGAGGUAACGGCUCACCAAGGCGACGAUGCGUAGCCGACCUGAGAGGGUGAUCGGCCACAUUGGGACUGAGACACGGCCCAGACUCCUACGGGAGGCAGCAGUGGGGAAUAUUGCACAAUGGGGGAAACCCUGAUGCCAGCAACGCCGCGUGAGUGAUGACGGCCUUCGGGUUGUAAAGCUCUGUCUUCAGGGACGAUAAUGACGGUACCUGAGGAGGAAGCCACGGCUAACUACGUGCCAGCCGCCGC